rnacentral:tRNA from 1 species
GCCGAAGUGGCGGAAUAGGCAGACGCGCUACGUUCAGGGCGUAGUUCACAUUCGUGAGUGUGGGUUCGACUCCCACCUUCGGCA